rnacentral:rRNA from 1 species
GACGAACGCUGGCGGCGUGCCUAAUACAUGCAAGUCGAACGCUUCUUUUCCCACCGGAGCUUGCUCCACCGGGAAAAGAGGAGUGGCGAACGGGUGAGUAACACGUGGGUAACCUGCCCAUCAGAAGGGGAUAACACUUGGAAACAGGUGCUAAUACCGUAUAACAAUCGAAACCGCAUGGUUUCGUUUUGAAAGGCGCUUUACGGUGCCGCUGAUGGAUGGACCCGCGGUGCAUUAGCUAGUUGGUGAGGUAACGGCUCACCAAGGCCACGAUGCAUAGCCGACCUGAGAGGGUGAUCGGCCACAUUGGGACUGAGACACGGCCCAAACUCCUACGGGAGGCAGCAGUAGGGAAUCUUCGGCAAUGGACGAAAGUCUGACCGAGCAACGCCGCGUGAGUGAAGAAGGUUUUCGGAUCGUAAAACUCUGUUGUUAGAGAAGAACAAGGGUGAGAGUAACUGUUCACCCCUUGACGGUAUCUAACCAGAAAGCCACGGCUAACUACGUGCCAGCAGCCGCGGUAAUACGUAGGUGGCAAAGCGUGUCCGGAUUUUAUGGGCCGUAAGCGAGCGCAGCGGUUUCUUAAGUCUGAUGUGAAAGCCCCCGGCUCAACCGGGGAGGGUCAUUGGAAACUGGGAGACUUGAGUGCAGAAGAGGAGAGUGGAAUUCCAUGUGUAGCGGUGAAAUGCGUAGAUAUAUGGAGGAACACCAGUGGCGAAGGCGGCUCUCUGGUCUGUAACUGACGCUGAGGCUCGAAAGCGUGGGGAGCAAACAGGAUUAGAUACCCUGGUAGUCCACGCCGUAAACGAUGAGUGCUAAGUGUUGGAGGGUUUCCGCCCUUCAGUGCUGCAGCUAACGCAUUAAGCACUCCGCCUGGGGAGUACGACCGCAAGGUUGAAACUCAAAGGAAUUGACGGGGGCCCGCACAAGCGGUGGAGCAUGUGGUUUAAUUCGAAGCAACGCGAAGAACCUUACCAGGUCUUGACAUCCUUUGACCACUCUAGAGAUAGAGCUUCCCCUUCGGGGGCAAAGUGACAGGUGGUGCAUGGUUGUCGUCAGCUCGUGUCGUGAGAUGUUGGGUUAAGUCCCGCAACGAGCGCAACCCUUAUUGUUAGUUGCCAUCAUUUAGUUGGGCACUCUAGCAAGACUGCCGGUGACAAACCGGAGGAAGGUGGGGAUGACGUCAAAUCAUCAUGCCCCUUAUGACCUGGGCUACACACGUGCUACAAUGGGAAGUACAACGAGUCGCGAAGUCGCGAGGCUAAGCUAAUCUCUUAAAGCUUCUCUCAGUUCGGAUUGUAGGCUGCAACUCGCCUACAUGAAGCCGGAAUCGCUAGUAAUCGCGGAUCAGCACGCCGCGGUGAAUACGUUCCCGGGCCU